rnacentral:rRNA from 1 species
UACGGGGGGGGCAAGCGUUGUUCGGAAUUACUGGGCGUAAAGGGCUCGUAGGCGCCAACUAAGUCAGACGUGAAAUCCCUCGGCUUAACCGGGGAACUGCGUCUGAUACUGGAUGGCUAGAGGUUGGGAGAGGGAUGCGGAAUUCCAGGUGUAGCGGUGAAAUGCGUAGAUAUCUGGAGGAACACCGGUGGCGAAGGCGGCAUCCUGGACCAAUUCUGACGCUGAGGAGCGAAAGCCAGGGGAGCAAACGGGG